CGGGGCUUUUCUGGACGUACUAAAAGCGUGCGCGAGCGUUCUUCUCGGUCUUGUACGGAGAAGCACGUGUGACUGGACGGUUUCUACCUGCGCCACUCUACCGUUAUCAGCUUUACUGUAAAAACAACCUCCAGUCAUGGUCAAGCUUGCCAAGGCAGCUAAAAAACUAGCGCCUCUGAAGAAAAAGGCACCUCCACCUCCCAAAGAAGUGGAAGAAGAAUCCAGCGAGGAGGAGAGUGAGGAUGAGGAGGAAGAGGCGCCACCAGCUAAAGCUGUAGCAAAGAAGAAAGCGGCUCCGGCGAAGGCAGUGAAAAAUGGAAAAGCUGCUGCCAAACAGGAGAGUGACGAUGACGACGAUGAAGAAUCUGAAGAGGAAGCUCCUCCCCCAAAGAAGGCAGCACCUGCCAAGAAAGCAGCGCCUGCUGAGGAGUCCGAUGAAGAGGAUGAUGAUGAUGAUGACGAAUCUGAGGAAGAGCUGCCUCCACCACCCAAGAAGGCGACUCCAGCCAAAGCCAUGAAGAAAGCAGCUCCUGCAGCCAAAGCACCUGCUGCGAAGGAGUCUGAGGAGGAUGAUGAUGACGAGGAAGAUGAUGAUGAAGAAGAGGAAAUGGACACGACUCCAGUGCCCAAAAAGGCAGGAAUGGUGAAGGCAAAGGAGGAAUCUGAAGAGGAUGAGGAUGACGACGAAGAGGAUGAUGAUGAUGAUGA
rnacentral:lncRNA from 1 species